ensembl:misc_RNA 7SK 7SK RNA
GGAUGUGAGGGCGAUCUGGCUGCGACAUCUGUCACCCCAUUGAUCGCCAGGGUUGAUUCGGCUGAUCUGGCUGGCUAGGUGGGUGUAGCCCUUCCUCCCUCACUGCUCCAUGUGCGUCCCUUCGGAAGCUGAGCUCCUUUGAAGAGGACAACCAUCCCUGAUAGAGGAAGACCGGUCUUCGGUCAAGGGUAUACGAGUAGCUGCGCUCCCCUGCUAGAACCUCCAAACAAGCUCUGAAGGGAGAUUGUGUUUUGAGAGCAGCCCACGAUGAAAUGUUUAUGAGACUCUAUUUCAACAAAAAACUGGACAUGGUAGUU